GGAAAGCAAAACACACAUUAGAGACCUGAUGAGAGAAAUUGGCCACGAGUGAGGCUUUGGUGUGAUCUGAUGACCUUUCUGUGGAGAAAACCCAUGGUGCAGAAUUUGUUAAGAGGUGUUCAGAGAAUAAAUGUUCUCAUGUAAUAACAAACCUGACAGAUCUUCAUAAUUGAUCCCUAUCCCUGACAUAUGAAGGGCACAGGAUGCAAAGAGAAUGAAGCACUG